UGGAAGUGAGUUGCAGCAGCCGCUAAUCAUAAUAAUUGAUUUGUAAAUAUUUUCUUUCCAUUGCAAUUGCAAUUGCAACACUAAUUAUAAAUCACACAAGCAAAAUUUCUAGCAAAAAAAUUCCAAUUCAAAGAAUUAGCGCCAUGCCCUGUAUAGUUUGCAUUGCGGCUCCCAUUUUGUAUCCAAUUGCUGUGGUCGUCUGGUACAAGAUCAUUCAACCCACCUUAGCUUGGUUAGCGCCUCCGGAGGAGAGACCGCAGCACCAGAGCCGUCGACCCCACUAUAGUCAGCGCCGAUCGGCACCAGUCAGAUGCCAUAAUAAUCGCUGUCCCUUCUGUGUUGGAUGCGUGCGCCAUUAAAGGCAGUAUAAUCUACAUAUUUCGGAUACUUCUUAAUAAAUAUUAAUUUUGGGUCGUA